CCUUUUGUAUAAUGGGUCAGCGACUUAUAUUCUGUAGCAAGGUUAACCGAAUAGGGGAGCCGAAGGGAAACCGAGUCUUAACUGGGCGUUAAGUUGCAGGGUAUAGACCCGAAACCCGGUGAUCUAGCCAUGGGCAGGUUGAAGGUUGGGUAACACUAACUGGAGGACCGAACCGACUAAUGUUGAAAAAUUAGCGGAUGACUUGUGGCUGGGGGUGAAAGGCCAAUCAAACCGGGAGAUAGCUGGUUCUCCCCGAAAGCUAUUUAGGUAGCGCCUCGUGAAUUCAUCUCCGGGGGUAGAGCACUGUUUCGGCAAGGGGGUCAUCCCGACUUACCAACCCGAUGCAAACUGCGAAUACCGGAGAAUGUUAUCACGGGAGACACACGGCGGGUGCUAACGUCCGUCGUGAAGAGGGAAACAACCCAGACCGCCAGCUAAGGUCCCAAAGUCAUGGUUAAGUGGGAAACGAUGUGGGAAGGCCCAGACAGCCAGGAUGUUGGCUUAGAAGCAGCCAUCAUUUAAAGAAAGCGUAAUAGCUCACUGGUCGAGUCGGCCUGCGCGGAAGAUGUAACGGGGCUAAACCAUGCACCGAAGCUGCGGCAGCGACGCUUAUGCGUUGUUGGGUAGGGGAGCGUUCUGUAAGCCUGUGAAGGUGUACUGUGAGGUAUGCUGGAGGUAUCAGAAGUGCGAAUGCUGACAUAAGUAACGAUAAAGCGGGUGAAAAGCCCGCUCGCCGGAAGACCAAGGGUUCCUGUCCAACGUUAAUCGGGGCAGGGUGAGUCGACCCCUAAGGCGAGGCCGAAAGGCGUAGUCGAUGGGAAACAGGUUAAUAUUCCUGUACUUGGUGUUACUGCGAAGGGGGGACGGAGAAGGCUAUGUUGGCCGGGCGACGGUUGUCCCGGUU
rnacentral:rRNA from 1 species